rnacentral:rRNA from 1 species
CCUACGGGAGGCAGCAGUAAGGAAUAUUGGUCAAUGGACGAAAGUCUGAACCAGCCAUGCCGCGUGAAGGAUGAAGGCCCUCUGGGUUGUAAACUUCUUUUAUCUGGGACGAAAAAAGCUCAUUCUUGAGCACUUGACGGUACCAGAGGAAUAAGCACCGGCUAACUCCGUGCCAGCAGCCGCGGUAAUACGGAGGGUGCAAGCGUUAUCCGGAUUCACUGGGUUUAAAGGGUGCGUAGGUGGGUCUGUAAGUCAGUGGUGAAAUCUCCGGGCUUAACUCGGAAACUGCCAUUGAUACUAUAGGUCUUGAAUCAUCUGGAGGUAAGCGGAAUAUGUCAUGUAGCGGUGAAAUGCUUAGAUAUGACAUAGAACACCAAUUGCGAAGGCAGCUUACUACGGGUGUAUUGACACUGAGGCACGAAAGCGUGGGGAUCAAACAGGAUUAGAUACCCUGGUAGUCCACGCCCUAAACCGAUGGAUACUCGACAUCAGCGAUACACUGUUGGUGUCUGAGCGAAAAGCAUUAAGUAUCCCACCUGGAAGUACGACCGCAAGGUUGAAACUCAAAGGAAUUGACGG